UUCUGCCUCGACGUCCGAUGAUACUAUUGUAUUAUAAGAGGGGAGAAGAAUCAAUUCAAUAAAAAUUUGAGUUUUAAACGUAUUUUUCUCAUACGUGGGGUAUGAGAAAAAUACGUUUAAAACUUUUUAAGUUCC